GACGAACGCUGGCGGCGUGCUUAACACAUGCAAGUCGAGCGGUAAGGCCCUUUCGGGGGUACACGAGCGGCGAACGGGUGAGUAACACGUGGGUGACCUGCCCUCAGCUCUGGGAUAAGCCUGGGAAACUGGGUCUAAUACCGGAUAUGACUCCAUGACGCAUGUUGUGGGGUGGAAAGCCUUGUGCGGCUGAGGAUGGGCCCGCGGCCUAUCAGCUUGUUGGUGGGGUGAUGGCCUACCAAGGCGACGACGGGUAGCCGGCCUGAGAGGGCGACCGGCCACACUGGGACUGAGACACGGCCCAGACUCCUACGGGAGGCAGCAGUGGGGAAUCUUGCGCAAUGGGCGAAAGCCUGACGCAGCGACGCCGCGUG
rnacentral:rRNA from 1 species